rnacentral:rRNA from 1 species
UACGUAGGGUGCGAGCGUUAAUCGGAAUUACUGGGCGUAAAGCGUGCGCAGGCGGCGCGUUAAGACAGGUGUGAAAGCCCCGAGCUUAACUUGGGAAUUGCGCUUGUGACUGGCGUGCUGGAGUGCGGCAGAGGGAGGUGGAAUUCCACGUGUAGCAGUGAAAUGCGUAGAUAUGCGGAGGAACACCGAUGGCGAAGGCAAUCCCCUGGGCCUGCACUGACGCUCAUGCACGAAAGCGUGGGGAGCAAACAGG